rnacentral:sRNA from 1 species
AAUGCUAUAGACUUAAGUGAACACUCAGACCUACUAAAAUCAAUAGGGUUGGCUUCUAGCCCUAUUGCAGGACAUCAGUUUGCUAUUAUUUUAUUUAUUUUUUGAAAAUAAAGAAAAGCAGUGGUUCCUAGGGGAGUAAAUACAAUGCUUUUUGAGGAGGAAUGUAGGAAAGAUUGAGAAUGUGAUUGGAAGAAAUAAAGAAGCAGUAAAACGAAAAAGGAGAAGCCUAAUAAACAACUGAGCAAAGAAAGAAAGGAAACCUUUGUUAAUAAAAGAGUAUUUGAAGGGAAUAAAUGCCAAAGACAGGCCAACCUCAUAGAGCACGUAGAAAAUGGACUUUUUCCAGAAGAAGAAGCGAGGGUUUUGGAGAUGACUGGAACGUGUUUGUGCCAGUGUAUGUAGACACUCAUUUUAUAGAACAUUAAAGUACACCUUAAAUCCUUAAACACAGAAUAAACUCAUAAAAUUAAGGCAAAAGGAACAAAGAGGAAAGAGAAUACUGUGCCAGGCCUAGACUGGACAUCAUCCAGCCACUUUCUGAGACUUGUGAAGAGAUCUCUUCUGAUGCUUUGACA